UCCCAGCCGAACUUCUACAGCGGAUGGAUCUCAGACGAAUUUCUACAACAGAUGGGCUCCACCAGUCGGAUCUCUACUCCGAACUUCUAUGGCAACCGAUCUUCAUCCGAGCUUCUACAAUAAGAAAUCUCCAUCCGAGCUUCCACGGCAAUCGGUCUUCGUCCGAGCUUCUGCAAUAAGAAGUAUCCAUCCGAGCUUCCACGGCAACCGAUCUUCAUCCGAGCUUCUAUAAUAAGUGGCCUCCUUUCAGACUCCUACA
rnacentral:lncRNA from 1 species